GGCGCCCGCCGGUUACUUGGAGUGUUGCGGUGAACUGGCGGCGCCUCGCUGGUGUUUGUGUUCCUGCUGUUUGACCUGCUGAAUGAUCUCCCGGAUCUUCCUCUGUGCAGUCUGUUAAAAAGAGCAGCGCAAAAAGCUCAGUAAGAAAUGGAGAUGGAUGGAUGGAUGGAUGGAUGGAUGUAUGGACGGACGGACGGAUGGACAAGCGCCAAUCAACUCACCGUCUUGCCACCUUUCCCGAUGACCCUUCCGGCUGCAGUAGAAGGAACCUUGAUGUGCGUCUCCAGUUUGACUUCCUCCUUCCCCGAGAAGAAGUUCUCCUCUUUCAGCUUGCCAAAUAUCCGACCUUGGGCCUGGACAUCAGAGGAGAGCGUGAGGAAAAUGAUUGACUCAUUUCUCAAGUGAUACUUCUUGCAGCCAUAUUUAUAAUCAGGUUACCUUAAAUUGAGCCUCUGGCGUGCCGGUAAUGAUCACCAUUCUCUCGGUGACAUCGGGACUCUCAGCUGGGGCGAUCUGAAGGCAAAUCAGAGAGGAGAAAUUGGAGCGUACAUUUGAUUCCAAUUUUUUUGAAGGUGAAACUGUGAGGUCUCCGCACCUUGAUGGAAGCUCCAGCAAAGUGGGCGAGCUGCUUAAUAUGCUGGCCCUUCUUGCCAAUGAGAGCUCCUACUGCCUGAGUUGGAAUAAAGAGCUCUCUGGGAAGCAGACAAGAAAAGAUGACAGAGCGUGAACUCGAUACCACAUGAGCCAAGUCUGGAGGCAAGACAGCCAAAAGAAAUCCUGUCAAAGUUUCCACUAGAAGACACAAAUGAUGUAAAAGUAGCCUUCAAGAAGUCUCUACAGACAAAUUUGAGUUUCACAACUUUUUAUCAUUAAAAUCGAAAUGUUUUUUCAUGGUGUAAAUUUGAUGUUUUCAAUUCUGAUAACUGAAUCAUUUUUUGUGAUGAAUUGCAGAUGUGCUUUGAGAUGCACGUUUGAUUCCAACAAU